UACGGGGGGGGUAAGCGUUGUUCGGAAUUACUGGGCGUAAAGGGCUCGUAGGCGGCCUACUAAGUCAGACGUGAAAUCCCUCAGCUUAACUGGGGAACUGCGUCUGAUACUGGAUGGCUUGGAUCCGGGAGAGGGAUGCGGAAUUCCAGGAGUAGCGGUGAAAUGCGUAGAUAUCUGGAGGAACACCGGUGGCGAAGGCGGCAUCCUGGACCGGUAUUGACGCUGAGGCGCGAAAGCUAGGGGAGCAAACGGG
rnacentral:rRNA from 1 species